CCCAGUUCUCCAGGGAGCACAUUCCCUGGGGUUGGCCCGCAGGACUGAGCUUCUCUGUCCACAUUUUCUCUUGGAUUCGUGCACCACCUUGGCUGUACUGAGCAGCAGUGGUGUCAGCAACCAGGCUUGAAGGCCACGGGCUCUGACCCCAAUGCCCAAUGCUCCAUGGGGACUCUCUGGGGUCUCCUGCCCCUCAGGCUCCAAUGCUGGCCCCAGCCUCACUCUGCCAGGGCCGUGGAUCCUGCCCUCACAGCCCUGGGAGGGGAGGACCAGUGCCCAGGCAAAGCUCCAUGCCUGCCUCACACAGGCUCACAGGGGAGGGAGGAAAAGUCUCCCUCGUGAGUAGCCAGGGCCAAAGUCUAAUGAGGGUCCUUAACAUGUAAAAGAUGUAGCUUGACCUCAGUCAGCUUUAACCCUGUCUUUCCAUUACCUCAUAAAGUAGCAUGGAACUCUUGACAAAAGUAGCAAAGCUCUGAGGAGACGUGCGCUUACUGGUUUUCUAGCAUAUUCCAAAGUUCUCUCUGCCUCCAGGUGUGUUGCUGCUGCUGGGCUGCAGUAUCUGUUGAGAGAGUUUAUGAAGAAACCAGCCAACAUCCUGGAGAUCCUCAGGCCACCUCAAGUACUGCUGUUUCUGUACAAAGCCUCUAAUGGAUUGAUGUUUCAUCAACUGGUACUGGGACAAGGACCCAACCACCACCAUGAUGAGAGCACUGUUAAGGCAAGGUUCAGAACCUGCAAAUCCUGGAGUGUCUCAAAGACUCGGGAGUUCAGGGAGAAGAUAAACCCAUGUGAAAGGUCCAGGUGUCUCACUGAACUUCUGGCCAGGCCAGCAAAUGUGUUCUGGUCAGGAUCUUUGAUGUUAUGGAAGCCAAACCCGGCACCCAUGAUGUGGUGGGCAAGAAUCAAAGAGAAGGCCUGGCUUUUGCUGAUGGCAUUGCUAAAGUUUCCUGUGAUAUCCACUGUCCAGCCAUUUCCAGAAACAUCUAGUGUCUCCAGCACCAUGCUUCUGAACGGGUUCAUACAUUUUCCCCAGUCCACUGAGACUCUGCUAUACAAGUUAUUAGCUGCGAGGCUGAAAAAGGAGAGCAUUUUCCCUUGGAGGGGCUCGAGCUCAUGUUCACAUACAAGAAAUAUUUGGUUGGAGGAAAAAUCUAUGGACUUCAAGGAAUUCAGCUUCCCAAAUGAAGGAUGA
rnacentral:lncRNA from 1 species